AUGGUAGGAUAGAGGCCUACCAUGGUGGUAACGGGUAACGGGGAAUUAGGGUUCGAUUCCGGAGAGGGAGCCUGAGAAACGGCUACCACAUCCAAGGAAGGCAGCAGGCGCGCAAAUUACCCAAUCCCGACACGGGGAGGUAGUGACAAUAAAUAACAAUACGGGGCUCUUUUGGGUCUCGUAAUUGGAAUGAGUACAAUUUAAAUCCCUUAACGAGGAACAAUUGGAGGGCAAGUCUGGUGCCAGCAGCCGCGGUAAUUCCAGCUCCAAUAGCGUAUAUUAAAGUUGUUGCAGUUAAAAAGCUCGUAGUUGAAUCUCGGGAUUGACACAUCGGUCGUGCCUUAAGGGGUAUGAACUGGUGUAGUCAAUUUCUCACCUUCUGGAGAACCGCGAUGUCCUUAAUUGGGUGCCGCGAGGAACCAGGACCUUUACUUUGAAAAAAUUAGAGUGUUUAAAGCAGGCAUUUUUGCUUGAAUACAUUAGCAUGGAAUAAUAAAAUAGGACGGCAUGAUUCUAUUUUGUUGGUUUCUAGGAUCACCGUAAUGAUUAAUAGGGAUAGUUGGGGGCAUUAGUAUUCAAUUGUCAGAGGUGAAAUUCUUGGAUUUAUUGAAGACUAACUACUGCGAAAGCAUUUGCCAAGGAUGUUUUCAUUAAUCAAGAACGAAAGUUAGGGGAUCGAAGACGAUCAGAUACUGUCGUAGUCUUAACCAUAAACUAUGCCGACUAGGAAUCAGACGAUGUUAAUUUUUUAAUGACUCGUUUGGCACCUUACGGGAAACCAAAGUGUUUGGG
rnacentral:rRNA from 1 species